GUGCCAUCGCUGAUGCAGACUGAUGCAGCUGGCAUUCGGCAGAGCUGGCAUCUCAAUGUUAAUCUGUUUCAAGGUCAAUGUUUUCCCCACUACAUGCAUGACUUUAAUAUUAAGGCUUGCCUGGACUUCAGUCACCUGGUCUAACUUCACUCCACAGCCACCCUGAGCCACCUUCACUCUCCCGACACCCAGAGAUGAUACCCUGACCGGUCAAGCCUGAGCCCCUGGGAGCACGAGCCGCCCUCCUUGAGCUCUGGGCGGGUCGUGCGUGAGUUAUCAGGUAAAGAUUGACGUACACCCCGUGAGGACCCUCCUUACCCGCUCCGGAUGAGGUCGUAAGUCAAAGUUGUAAAGUCAUUGGGAUAUGGUGAUGCCACACAGGUGUCCACAAAUAAGGCCAGGGAGGCGUUGGCGUGGAGGAUCUCAGCCUGACACUGACGUCGCUGAUGAAGCGAAUGGACAUGAAGUUGGACGAGGAGGUGAAGGAGCCACUUGCCCCAUUGCAGACCCGGGCAAGCAGCGGGGAGCUGCGGUAGGGGCCGUCAAACACCUCAAUGUAAUCGAAGUUACAGCCGCUUUCAAGCCUGCAGAAAUGGAGCACAGUUUGGCGUCACUUUUAACCAGAAUUUGGUGCCGGGGGUCAGAAUCACGGUGAGAGGGGGGGUCCCACCUCUAAGCCAGAAACACCAACAAAUUUAAUCACUGAAAAUAAUAGAUUUUCCUUUUUUUUUUUUUUACUGAAAUAUAGAUGCUAUAUAAUAUUAUACAUUCCAGGGGUACAAUAUGGUGAGUCACAAUUUGUACAGGUUAUAUUCCAUUUGCAGUUAUUCUGGAAUAUUGGCUACACUCCCUGUGCUGUACAAUUUAACCUUUUAGCUUAUUUUGUACAUAAUAGUUCGCACCUCAUAAUCCUCGGUCCUGUCCCCACUCCUCCCUUCCCUCUCCCCACUGGCAACCACUGGUUUGUUAGAUUUUUUUUUAGGGUCACACCCAUGACAUAUGGAGGUUCCCUGGCUGGGGGUUGAAUUGGAGUUAUAGCCGCUGGCCUACACCACAGCUCACGGCAACACCAGAUCCUUAACUCACUGAGCAAGGCCAAGGA
rnacentral:lncRNA from 1 species